ACGUGUUACAUAAUCUUCUCCAUUCUCGGAACUGUAGGCGGUUACCUACCGCAAAUAGUGCCUCCCAUCCCUCUACCGUUCUUUUAUACAUCCGUCUAAUUCUCUUUCCUUUGCUACCGUAAUUCAAGAUUCUUAAAAGUUAACCCAUUUUCUUCUUAUGGGUUUUCACUCGGAUGCAGAGAUUAUUGAUUCAAUCACUCUAGGCUGUAAUAUUCUAUUUUUCAGCCUGUCUGUCACAUGAAUUUAGCGAAUUAAAUUUACAAACGUGAAGGUACGGCGGUAUGCUUUUGAUAUUGUCAUGAUUUCGAUAGGUGGUUCUCAAACAGGUAUAUAAGGAUCUGCUCUGCGUCCUUGCCGCCUUCUUCUACCCAGGAGAGUGAGUUUUUAAACCUUACUCACUUACGGUUCUUAUGUCGUCUUUUUUGUGUUUUCAUUCUGUAUUCUUUUCUCUCUUCACUAUAUUUUAUGUUUCAUGAAGACGUCGUGUGGACGAAAAUGGACUGGAUGGUGUGUUAUUCAGAACACUGAAAAUGUCCAUCCCAAUUCAUAUACCACAUGUGCGGAACUAACGAUAUACUGAUACUGAAAAUUCCAAUCCCAACAUUAUGAUUUCAGGCUACUCGAGAACAAAAACAGCAGCAUCACAUACCUCUCUUUUCACGUGUGCACAUGUCAAUGUCACUUCGCCGGCUGUUGAACGUGACAACUGCUCACCUUCAGGAGGCGUCGUGUCAAUGAAAUUGCCUCUGGCGGGAUUGAAGAUGGAUUUACCAUAGAGAUGUCCAUAGCAAUACACAUACAUUAUCUGCCACGCCUCAUGGUACAUCUAUUUUAAAUGACAAGGUUUCUCAGCUAUUUGUUAUUCCGACUGGAUUGUCUGACCGUGCAUCUUAUCCAGAUAGCGUGUAACUGAUCUUCUCUAACAAAGCAGUAUCAGGAGUUUCCAUAGUUUCAUUGGAAACUCACAUGGGUUCAACGCAACAACUACCAUCGAAGGUUGCUGUGGAAAUGCUGGCUGUUUCCAGAUUGACGAUUUCAGAAGCUCAAAGGUUACUAUAAGUUCUUAUCCUGAUCACUAUAUUAGUUAAAACAGAGAAAGCUCGCACUGUUCUUGCCACUUGGAUCGUAGCAGACUGGGUUGUUAUUUUAACUGUGAAAUAAGCAAACACCUUGCACAUUAUCUCUGAUUGGAAGGAAAGAGAUGGGAACACUAAUUUGCUUCAUUUUGUUGUGUGAUCAAUUGAUCGAAGACAUGGCUAAAGUAUAUUACAUAGGACUCCAAAUGAACCUGCUUUGAUUCAAACAUGCUCUCAAUCUAGAAGUGUAGCUAAAAAAUGAUUCCAGCUCUUUUAUUUAAGCAAGAAAUGAGUUUAGGGGUGGGCAGGGUAAAUA